GCAAGUCGAGCGCCCCUUCGGGGGAGCGGCGGACGGGUGAGUAACGCGUGGGAAUCUACCCUAUGGUGGAGGAUAACACCGGGAAACCGGGGCUAAUAAUGCAUAUGGUCUACGGAUCAAAGGCUUCGGUCGCCAAAGGAUGAGCCCGCGUCCCAUUAUUUAACCUGGUUGGUGGGGUAACGGCCUACCAAGGGUACGAUGGGUAGCUGGUCUGAGAGGACGAUC
rnacentral:rRNA from 1 species